AGUGAACGCUGGCGGUAUGCCUAACACAUGCAAGUCGAACGGGAGCAGAGUACGAGCUUGCUCUUACGGGAGACGAGUCUCCGACGGGUGGGGGAUACAUCGGAAUCUACUUUAUCUUGGGGGUACACGUAGGGAAAAUUACGCUACUACCGCUUACGACGUACAAGUGAAAGGAGGGGCACUUCGGGGCUUGAGCGACUGAAUGAGCCGAUGUCGGAUUAGCUAGUUGGCGGGGUAAAGGCGCAACAAGGCGACGAUCCGUAGACGGUCUGAGAGGAUGAUCAGCCAGACUGGAAGAGAGACACGGCCCACACUCCUGCGGUAGGCAGCAGUGCGGAAUAUUGGAGGAUGGAGCAGAGCCGGAUCCAGCCAUACCGCGUGGGUGAAGAAGGAGCUAGGGUUGGAAAGUCCUGUUGUUUGGAAAUAAAAGCAGCAGUUUCAUACCCCGCUGUUAUGACGGUACCCAAAGAAUAAGCACCGGCUAACUUCGUG
rnacentral:rRNA from 1 species